rnacentral:lncRNA from 1 species
GGGGCGCCUGUGGGAGCCGUGGAGGGAACUUUCCCAGUCCCCGAGGCGGAUCCGGUGUUGCAUCCUUGGAGCGAGCUGAGAGCUCGAGUACAGAACCUGCUAAGGCCAUCAAACCUAUUGAUCGGAAGUCAGUCCAUCAGAUUUGCUCUGGGCCGGUGGUACCGAGUCUAAGCACUGCGGUGAAGGAGUUAGUAGAAAACAGUCUGGAUGCUGGUGCCACUAAUAUUGAUCUAAAGCUUAAGGACUAUGGAGUGGAUCUCAUUGAAGUUUCAGGCAAUGGAUGUGGGGUAGAAGAAGAAAACUUCGAAGGCUUAAUGAUGUCACCAUUUCUACCUGCCAUGUAUCGGCGAAGGUUGGGACUCGACUGGUGUUUGAUCACUAUGGGAAAAUCAUCCAGAAAACCCCCUACCCCCACCCCAGAGGGAUGACAGUCAGUGUGAAGCAGUUAUUUUCUACGCUACCUGUGCACCAUAAAGAAUUUCAAAGGAAUAUUAAGAAGAAACGUGCCUGCUUCCCCUUCGCCUUCUGCCGUGAUUGUCAGUUUCCUGAGGCCUCCCCAGCCAUGCUUCCUGUACAGCCUGCAGAACUGACUCCUAGAAGUACCCCACCCCACCCCUGCUCCUUGGAGGACAACGUGAUCACUGUAUUCAGCUCUGUCAAGAAUGGUCCAGGUUCUUCUAGAUGAUCUGCACAAAUGGCUCCUCUCCUCCUUCCUGAUGUCUGCCAUUAGCACUGGAAUAAAGUUCCUGCUGAAAAUCCA